rnacentral:rRNA from 1 species
UACGUAGGGUGCGAGCGUUGUCCGGAAUUAUUGGGCGUAAAGGGCUCGUAGGCGGUCUGUCGCGUCGGCUGUGAAAACCCGGGGCUCAACCCCGGGCCUGCAGUCGAUACGGGCAGACUAGAGUGUGGUAGGGGAGACUGGAAUUCCUGGUGUAGCGGUGAAAUGCGCAGAUAUCAGGAGGAACACCGGUGGCGAAGGCGGGUCUCUGGGCCAUAACUGACGCUGAGGAGCGAAAGCGUGGGGAGCGAACAGG